rnacentral:miRNA from 3 species
CUUCCUAUGCACAUCUGUCCUU